AAUUAUGGCCCCCCUCUUUUAUGGAGGAAUGUUGAUCACAUGAAGGAAACUCUUGUAUGCUUCCAGUGAACCUUCUCCAAAACAAAGUUAAAGAAACAAAUAGACCCACAAGCUGAGCAAGAAAUCUUUAUCUGAGCUAAUACUCAGAAUGAUUAAUGAAAACACACGCAAGCCAUCUGUUAUCCUUCUUCACCAUGUGGAUCUGUGGACAGAUUGGUGGAUGAUAACCUCCAAAGGCUCAUUGCUUUGUUUUCGCUUGUUUGUUUUAAUAAGGAAGGCAUUCCUGAAGUCCUUGUCAAGUCUGUCAAAGAGGAUUACCUGAGUAUCCCAGAGUUUAACCCAGAACUUUCAUCCACAGAAUCAUCAGCAUCUCCCAGACUUUUUACUAGGAUUUUUGAUAUUAUUCAGUUCCACAAGCACUCCCAAUGACAAGCAUCUGGAGCUGUGGUGACCUGCUGCUGCUUCUGCCAGACAAAUUUGGGUGAAUUAAUCUCUCUCCAUGCAGCUUUGCACCAGUGUGUGUCUGCUGAAGAUUGAACCUUUUCUUUCCUUGUCCCAGAAGAGGCUUCCCUGUUGGACUGAGGUUUGGAGCUUUGUAUAAUCAAAAGAGUUUGAUUAAAUAGGACCCAGUUCUCCUUCAUGCCAUUGCAUUAUUUGACCUGGGAAAACAGCCGUGUGACAGAACAACCUGAUCUGUUUCUGUGUGGGCUGACAAAGGACUGAGCACACCGUUGAUUUCAAGCUACGUUACAUCUCCAAGUUGCAAAGCCAGUCAUAAAAGCUAGCAAGAAAAGCAUAUCAGUAGGUGAAUAUUUCUCACAGGCAGAGGCCACUCUGCCUCUGACAGGACUGUUGUUGUUUCCACUGGGAGGUUUAAACUACUUAGGGACAGCAACCUUUUCGACAGAAAAUCAUGCCUGAGCUGUUUUUUUUUAAGAGAUAAUAUCAGGAAAGACUGCUUUUCAGACAUCUAACCCAUAAUAUGUAUAGAG